CCUACGGGAGGCAGCAGUGAGGAAUAUUGGUCAAUGGGCGCGAGCCUGAACCAGCCAAGUAGCGUGAAGGAUGACUGCCCUACGGGUUGUAAACUUCUUUUAUAAAGGAAUAAAGUGAGGCACGUGUGCCUUUUUGUAUGUAUUUUAUGAAUAAGGAUCGGCUAACUCCGUGCCAGCAGCCGCGGUAAUACGGAGGAUCCGAGCGUUAUCCGGAUUUAUUGGGUUUAAAGGGUGCGCAGGCGGAUUUUUAAGUCAGCGGUAAAAUCGUGGGGCUCAACCCCAUCCAGCCGUUGAAACUGGGGAUCUUGAGUGUGCGAGAGGUAUGCGGAAUGCGUGGUGUAGCGGUGAAAUGCAUAGAUAUCGCGCAGAACCCCGAUUGCGAAGGCAGCAUGCCGGUGCACAACUGACGCUCAGGCACGAAAGCGUGGGUAUCGAACAGGAUUAGAUACCCCUGUAGUC
rnacentral:rRNA from 1 species